UAAUACGAAGGAUUCGAGCGUUAUCCGGAUUUAUUGGGUUUAAAGGGUGCGUAGGCGGACUGAUAAGUCAGUGGUGAAAGCCUGUUGCUUAACAACAGAACUGCCAUUGAUACUGCCAGUCUUGAGUACAGUUGAGGUAGGCGGAAUGUGUCAUGUAGUGGUGAAAUACUUAGAUAUGACACAGAACACCGAUUGCGAAGGCAGCUUGCUAAACUGUAACUGACGCUGAGGCACGAAAGCAUGGGGAGCAAACAGGAUUAGAUACCCUGGUAGUCCAUGCCCUAAACGAUGAUUACUCGAUGUGUGCGAUACACAGUACGCGUCUAAGCGAAAGCAUUAAGUAAUCCACCUGGGAAGUACGACCGCAAGGUUG
rnacentral:rRNA from 1 species